UAGGGGUAGUCUAUUAUCUUCUGAUCUGCAAUUGACUUUUAAAAAUACAAUCUGCAAGACUGUAUUUAAUUUAAUCAGAAAGGACAAAUCAAGAGAGAAUUAAAGCCAAGCUAACUCAACAUACCAUGUGUAGGGAACAGCAGUGAAUGGGAUCUUUUUGCAGCGGAUUGAGGGUAUUUUUUUCAGAAAGGGGCAAUAACUAAAGGCAGCAAACUGGCCGCAAGGAUCUGGGGGCGGAGGGAUGGUUCUGACAAGUGCUGAUCAGCCGCAGGGAGUGGGACGAGCCUUUUGCUGGGGAAGGCUGCAGGCUUUUGGCACUUUGUGUGUGUCUCUCUCUCUCUGCAUUUUAUUGUUCCGUCUGGCGUGUUUACAAUGGUUUCCGUCAUCUCCGAGCUGGAUUCGCUCGACAGUUGGAAAGUUCUGAGGCAGAGCAGCCCCGAGAUAACUGGAUCAUUACAAAGGAAGUCCUCUUUGCUCGCCCCUAAAUAUAGGCAGACCGUCAAUCCUGAGCCAUUGAUACUUGGGCUGCAUUACUAAUUCCAGGGACAAAGCUCAGUCG